UCUGUCCAAGACAUUGAAAAAGUAAAGAUGUCAGUUUGGGCUCAAAAAGUAAUCUGAUGGUGAGACAAAGAGCAUUAGCUACUAUUUUAGUGGUUGAAAUUGCACUGAAACCUAGGCUUAUGAAUCCAAAAGAUGCUUCCUUUAUUUCCUAUAUUCUUACUCCUAAAUUCCUGCUCUUUCCCUUUGUUUUGUAUUUAGCUGCAGCAUUUUCCAAGCCCAGAUUGUCAAUACAAGAUUAAGAAAAUAAGCAGCAAGAUCAAAGCAACAGAAGAUGAGAAGACUUCAACACAAAAGGUACAAAAUGCCACAUGGGAAGGGCCAAGCCCAAAGUAAAUCAAAGGAAGGACUCCUCCUAACAAAGCAAGGGCUCAGCACUACUUUCCAGCAACUCCACAAGAUUUCUUUCAGUACAGCUGCUUGGAGGAGAAUCAAAGAGCUUCAUGACCUUCAGAUUACACUGCACCACAAGGAUGGGUAUGUCGACUGGCCAGCAGAGAUUUUGGGUGCCCAUGAUGCAGUUCAGCAAACCUGUCCUCCCCAAAGCUGCAACAGAUCAUUUAAGAGCAGCCGGCCCAGCCACUCCCUUCAUCUCCUUUGUCUUUGGGGGUUUCCUGAUUCUCUGACGGGCUGAUCCAACUGUUGGCACAGCAGCCACGGCCUGAGCAGGACUGUUGAAAUGGUAGCGUCUAGAAAUGCCCUUUGUUUUGUGUAAUUAUAUAUAGAAACGCAUAUGUGUAUACUUCUAUUUCUUAUACAUGUGUAUGUACGUA